rnacentral:rRNA from 1 species
AUGGCCAAGCUUACGAACAAUAUCAUCGCGAGGGCAGUGUUCGGUGGCAAGUGCCAGCAGCAAGAAAAGUACCUCCAUGAGCUCGAUAGGAUGAUGGUGCUUGUGGGAGGGUUCAGCCUCGUUCACCUUUUCCCGUCAUCGCGGUUGGUACGGUGGUUGAGCGGCGCCGCGCGCGACCUGAGGAGGAGCCACGCCCGGGCACAGCAAAUCCUGAGGGACAUCAUCGAGAUGAAAGAAAGUGCCUCCGCAAGCGCCGGCACUCGAGACAACGAGGACCUGCUAGACGUGCUCCUUAGGCUGCAGAAGGAAGACACCCUCCGUUUCCCACUCACGUCUGACAUUAUAGGCGCAGUCAUCUUCGAUAUAUUUGCAGCUGCAACUGACACCACUGCCACCACGCUAGAAUGGGCCAUGGCAGAAUUAAUCCGCAACCCAGAGUUGAUGACAAGGGCGAAACACGAAGUUCGACAGGGUCUAGCACAAGGGCUAUCCACGGUAACGAGCGCAGACCUCGGCAAUCUGCACUACCUUCGAAUGGUGAUCAAGGAAACACUAAGGCUACACCCGCCCGCCGCGGUGAUGCGCAGGGCAGCCCGAGAUAGGUGCCAGGUAAUGGGCUACAACAUACCCAAAGACAUCCAUGUGAUGAUAAACUUAUUCGCAGUGGGGAGGGACCCGAGGCACUGGGGGGAGGACGCCGCGGAGUUCAGGCCCGAGAGGUUCGAGAGAAGCGACGCCAUGAACCCCGGGGCGCAGAUGGAGUUCAUCCCGUUUGGGUUUGGCCGUAGGCAGUGCCCCGGAGCCCUGAUGGCGACAACGACGCUUGAGCUCGUGCUAGCCAAUCUCCUGUACCAAUUUGACUGGGCGAUUCCGGGUGGGGCAAGCCCGGAGACGCUGGACAUGGGCGAGGUAUUUGGGUUAACUGUGCAUCGCAGCUCCAACCUGUGUCUACAGGCAGCAACUCGCCGUCCACAGCAACACUAG